UUUUAAGUUGUUGCUAUUCAAAUUUCCAUUGCUUCCUCUAAUUUUAUGGCGUGGUUUACUACUAAUUUUAGAUUUGUUGUUUGCUACAAACAAAAAUUCUCAUUUUUUCAUUCAGCUGUAUAAAUGUAAACUAGUUUGGAAGAUGUUUGCAGCCAAUUCACAUGUCUUAGGAGGUGAUCAAAGUGUGUACCUUUUUGUAUUUGCCAAUACUCUGAGUUAUUGAGGUGUUAUCACCGUAUAUAUACAUGCUUGUGUUUUAUUUUGUUGCAAUGAUUGUUGUUUCUUGCUUCUGUUGUUUGUAGUGACUGUUCUACAUCUUCUGUUGUCCUAAUGAUUGUUGUUUCUCCCUUUCCUUGAGAGCUCUUUUCUUUACUCUUUUCCUUUUUCAUUCUUUGGCAUUAUUAACUGAACUAAUAUAUUAAUGUCAUUGUGCAUCAGAGGAGUCUGAG
rnacentral:misc_RNA from 1 species